GACGAACGCUGGCGGCGUGCCUAAUACAUGCAAGUAGAACGCUGAAGAGAGGAGCUUGCUCUUCUUGGAUGAGUUGCGAACGGGUGAGUAACGCGUAGGUAACCUGCCUUGUAGCGGGGGAUAACUAUUGGAAACGAUAGCUAAUACCGCAUAACAAUGGAUGACACAUGUCAUUUAUUUGAAAGGGGCAAUUGCUCCACUACAAGAUGGACCUGCGUUGUAUUAGCUAGUAGGUGAGGUAACGGCUCACCUAGGCGACGAUACAUAGCCGACCUGAGAGGGUGAUCGGCCACACUGGGACUGAGACACGGCCCAGACUCCUACGGGAGGCAGCAGUAGGGAAUCUUCGGCAAUGGGGGCAACCCUGACCGAGCAACGCCGCGUGAGUGAAGAAGGUUUUCGGAUCGUAAAGCUCUGUUGUAAGUCAAGAACGAGUGUGAGAGUGGAAAGUUCACACUGUGACGGUAGCUUACCAGAAAGGGACGGCUAACUACGUGCCAGCAGCCGCGGUAAUACGUAGGUCCCGAGCGUUGUCCGGAUUUAUUGGGCGUAAAGCGAGCGCAGGCGGUUUGAUAAGUCUGAAGUUAAAGGCUGUGGCUCAACCAUAGUUCGCUUUGGAAACUGUCAAACUUGAGUGCAGAAGGGGAGAGUGGAAUUCCAUGUGUAGCGGUGAAAUGCGUAGAUAUAUGGAGGAACACCGGUGGCGAAAGCGGCUCUCUGGUCUGUAACUGACGCUGAAGCUCGAAAGCGUGGGGAGCGAACAGGAUUAGAUACCCUGGUAGUCCACGCCGUAAACGAUGAGUGCUAGGUGUUGGAUCCUUUCCGGGAUUCAGUGCCGCAGCUAACGCAUUAAGCACUCCGGCUGGGGAGUACGACCGCAAGGUUGAAACUCAAAGGAAUUGACGGGGGCCCGCACAAGCGGUGGAGCAUGUGGUUUAAUUCGAAGCAACGCGAAGAACCUUACCAGGUCUUGACAUCCCGAUGCUAUUUCUAGAGAUAGAAAGUUACUUCGGUACAUCGGUGACAGGUGGUGCAUGGUUGUCGUCAGCUCGUGUCGUGAGAUGUUGGGUUAAGUCCCGCAACGAGCGCAACCCCUAUUGUUAGUUGCCAUCAUUCAGUUGGGCACUCUAGCGAGACUGCCGGUAAUAAACCGGAGGAAGGUGGGGAUGACGUCAAAUCAUCAUGCCCCUUAUGACCUGGGCUACACACGUGCUACAAUGGUUGGUACAACGAGUUGCGAGUCGGUGACGGCAAGCUAAUCUCUUAAAGCCAAUCUCAGUUCGGAUUGUAGGCUGCAACUCGCCUACAUGAAGUCGGAAUCGCUAGUAAUCGCGGAUCAGCACGCCGCGGUGAAUACGUUCCCGGGCCU
rnacentral:rRNA from 1 species